GAUGAACGCGGGCGGCGGGCCGAAUACAUGCAAGUCGAACGCUUCACUUCGGUGAAGAGUGGCGAACGGGUGAGUAAUACAUAGUAACCUGGCAUCUACAGGGGGAUAACUGAUGGAAACGUCAGCUAAGACCGCAUAGGUGUAGAGAUCGCAUGAACUCUAUAUGAAAAGUGCUACGGGACUGGUAGAUGAUGGACUUAUGGCGCAUUAGCUUGUUGGUAGGGUAACGGCCUACCAAGGCGACGAUGCGUAGCCGACCUGAGAGGGUGACCGGCCACACUGGGACUGAGACACGGCCCAGACUCCUACGGGAGGCAGCAGUAGGGAAUUUUCGGCAAUGGGGGAAACCCUGACCGAGCAACGCCGCGUGAAGGAAGAAGUAAUUCGUUAUGUAAACUUCUGUCAUAGAGGAAGAACGGUGGAUAUAGGGAAUGAUAUCCAAGUGACGGUACUCUAUAAGAAAGCCACGGCUAACUACGUG
rnacentral:rRNA from 1 species